AACCAUAGAAACCUGCGGAGUACCUGCGGAGGGAUCAUUACAGAGUUGCAAAACUCCCUAAACCAUUGUGAACGUUACCUAAACCGUUGCUUCGGCGGGCGGCCCGGGUCCUUCCCGGCGCCCCUCGGCCCUCGCGGGCGCCCGCCGGAGGUAAACCAAACUAUUGCAUUUGUAUGGCCUCUCUGAGUCUUCUGUACUGAAUAAGUCAAAACUUUCAACAACGGAUCUCAGAUCGGAAGA
rnacentral:misc_RNA from 1 species